CUGCAGAUAGACUUUACUGCUGGAAUCAUCUCUGGAGAUGGUGAAUCUACCCUGGACUGACUGGGAGUAAUAGAUAGGAGUACUAGCUGUGUGUACUAAAGCGAUCCACUCCAGUCCUUUUCCAGGAGCCUGUCUGACCCAGUUCCACACUGAGCCUCCAAAGUUAAGUCCAGAUGUUGUACAGUCAGAUGAACAGAGAUGGAAGACAUCUAAACUUUACAUUUACAUGACAGGAGGGAGGACACAGCUGGACUGAAAAUCAUUUAUUCAACUGAUGAAAUAAUAUCCAAGAUCAAAUCUAUGAUAUCAGUUUAACCUGUUGGUCCCUGAGCCCUGUUUUUGAGGCACCUGCUCGAAAAGGAAAAAUAAAUAAAUAAAAAGGCUAUAUCUGUGGAAAUACAACCUCUAUGUGAAUAAUCUGGAUAUCAAAAUAAAGGUAAGACCAGUGAGAUUUCAUCAGAGGUGUAGCCAUCACUGUAGGGGCCACUGUGUCAGAGUAAAUGCAGAAGGAACACAGGA